rnacentral:rRNA from 1 species
CCUACGGGUGGCAGCAGUGAGGAAUAUUGGUCAAUGGACGAGAGUCUGAACCAGCCAAGUAGCGUGAAGGAUGACUGCCCUAUGGGUUGUAAACUUCUUUUAUAAAGGAAUAAAACGAGGCACGUGUGCCUUUUUGCAUGUACUUUAUGAAUAAGGAUAGGCUAACUCCGUGCCAGCAGCCGCGGUAAUACGGAGGAUCCGAGCGUUAUCCGGAUUUAUUGGGUUUAAAGGGAGCGUAGGUGGGUUGUUAAGUCAGUUGUGAAAGUUUGCGGCUCAACCGUAAAAUUGCAAUUGAUACUGGCAGUCGUGAGUACAGUUGAGGUAGGCGGAAUUCGAGGUGUAGCGGUGAAAUGCUUAGAUAUCACGAAGAACCCCGAUUGCGAAGGCAGCUUACUAAACUGUGACUGACAUUGAUGCUCGAAAGUGUGGGUAUCAAACAGGAUUAGAUACCCUUGUAGUC